AGGCAGCAGUGGGGAAUAUUGGACAAUGGGCGAAAGCCUGAUCCAGCAAUGCCGCGUGAGUGAAGAAGGCCUUCGGAUUGUAAAGCACUUUCGGCGGGGACGAUGAUGACGGUACCCGCAGAAGAAGCCCCGGCUAACUUCGUGCCAGCAGCCGCGGUAAUACGAAGGGGGCUAGCGUUGCUCGGAAUGACUGGGCGUAAAGGGCGCGUAGGCGGAUUGUACAGUCAGACGUGAAAUUCCUGGGCUCAACCUGGGGACUGCGUUUGAGACGUAUAGUCUUGAGUGAGGAAGAGGGUUGUGGAAUUCCCAGUGUAGAGGUGAAAUUCGUAGAUAUUGGGAAGAACACCGGUGGCGAAGGCGGCAACCUGGUCCUUGACUGACGCUGAGGCGCGAAAGCGUGGGGAGCAAACAGGAUUAGAUACCCUGGUAG
rnacentral:rRNA from 1 species